rnacentral:rRNA from 1 species
AGAGUUUGAUCCUGGCUCAGAACGAACGCUGGCGGCGUGCUUAACACAUGCAAGUCGUGCGAGAAAAUCUUCUUCGGAGGAAGAGUAAAGCGGCGCACGGGUGAGUAACGCGUGGGUAAUCUACCCCCGAGUUUGGGAUAACUCCGCGAAAGCGGUGCUAAUACCGGAUGUGACCACAGUUACCUCGGUGACAGUGGUAAAAGGUGGCCUCUCCAUGGAAGCUAUCGCUUGGGGACGAGCCCGCGUCCUAUCAGCUUGUUGGUAGGGUAAUGGCCUACCAAAGCUGAGACGGGUAGCUGGUCUGAGAGGACGAUCAGCCACACUGGGACUGAGACACGGCCCAGACUCCUACGGGAGGCAGCAGUGGGGAAUAUUGCGCAAUGGGGGAAACCCUGACGCAGCGACGCCGCGUGGGUGGUGAAGGCCUUCGGGUUGUAAAGCCCUGUUAGGUGGGAAGAAAUUCCCUAUGGGUAAUAUCCAUAGGGAUUGACGGUACCACCAGAGGAAGCACCGGCUAACUCCGUGCCAGCAGCCGCGGUAAUACGGAGGGUGCAAGCGUUGUUCGGAAUUACUGGGCGUAAAGCGGGUGUAGGCGGUCGGGCAAGUCGGAUGUGAAAGCCCUCGGCUCAACUGAGGAAGUGCAUUCGAAACUGCUCGACUUGAGUAUGGGAGAGGAAGGUGGAAUUCUCGGUGUAGCGGUGACAUGCGUAGAUAUCGAGAGGAACACCGGUGGCGAAGGCGGCCUUCUGGCCCAAUACUGACGCUGAGACCCGAAAGCGUGGGGAGCAAACAGAAUUAGAUACCCUGGUAGUCCACGCCGUAAACGUUGGGUACUAGGUGUGGGAGGCUUUAUACUUUCCGUGCCGGAGCUAACGCAUUAAGUACCCCGCCUGGGGAGUACGGCCGCAAGGCUAGAACUCAAAGGAAUUGGCGGGGACCCGCACAAGCAGCGGAGCGUGUGGUUUAAUUCGAUGCUACACGAAGAACCUUACCAGGGCUUGACAUAAUGGUGGUAGGGAUCCGAAAGGUGACCGACCCUUCGGGGAGCCAUUACAGGUGCUGCAUGGCUGUCGUCAGCUCGUGUCGUGAGAUGUCCGGUUAAGUCCGGUAACGAGCGCAACCCUUACUGUAUGUUACAAGUGUCAUACAGGACUGCCGGCUUAAGGCCGGAGGAAGGCGGGGAUGACGUCAAGUCAGCAUGGCCUUUAUGUCCUGGGCUACACACACGCUACAAUGGUCAGUACAAUGGGUCGCAAAACCGCGAGGUGGAGCCAAUCCUCAAAGCUGGCCUCAGUUCAGAUUGCAGGCUGCAGCCCGCCUGCAUGAAGCUGGAGUUGCUAGUAACCGCGCGUCAGCUAUAGUGCGGUGAAUACGUUCCCGGGUCUUGCACACACCGCCCGUCACGUCAUGGAAGCUGGCAACACCUGAAGUCGGUAUCCUAACCGCAAGGAAGGAGCCGCCGAAGGUGGGGUUGGUGACUGGGACGAAGUCGUAACAAGGUAACC